GCAAAGUGUUGCGGAAUUCACAUCAGCCAGGGAGAAGCCCGCUGACAGCUGCAACUGCAAGCCGCCACGGGCUGAGCUGAGGCUGUGUCGAUCCAUCCGUAUUCAGGAAAACAACGCCAAUCAAUCCAGUCCAGAGGAAGGGCGAUGGCCGCCGCUAGGAUCGCCGCCUGCACCACCUCCGCCCGCACCGCCCUCGCCUUGGCAGACGACCCCGCGCCGCCGGACACGCUGGACGUGGUGCGCCGGCAGCGCCAGCUCCUACGCCGCGCCGCGGCCCUCUGCCUCGACCCCAUCGCCGAGGAGUCCGACGGUGGCAUCGACUCUGCCUCCGACGUCCACUCCUUGGGCCGGAGCCGGAGCCGGGGCCAGACCGCCGCCACCUCCGCACUGCCGGCGCGUCCCUGAGGAUCUGAACCGUCAAAGACGAGACCUUUUCCUUCUUGCCAUAGGAGUGGAGUUUUUUCCCGUGGGUUUUAAGAAAUACUCCGUACAAUGUAUAUGUUGUUACUAUAGUAAUAUUAUAGAAUAUAGACCAAAAGCUGUUUCAGACACCGUUGCAAAAUAGAGCUUUCAAUAUCAUGGUUUAAUCCAAACUGUGGUAAUUUUCGAGUAUUUGACAAACAUCUUAAGACCAAAGUUUUGCUCCGCAAGACAUGCACUUUUCUAUCGUUGCGCUACCGGACAGUGUUAUUUGUCUCUUAAUUUAUAUAUAAGGUCAUGUUUAAAUAUAUUAGAGAUAAUAGUUAGUUGAUAAAAAGUUACCAGUAGAAUUAUUUGUUAGAUAACUAGUACCUAAUUACCUAAAAAGUAGGUAAUACAUGAAUUAUUAAUGAGGUUGUUUAGAUAUUUGUAAAUAAUUUUAUCAGCUAACUAUUAUCUUUAGGGGGUGUUUGAAUGCAUUAGAUCUAAUAGUUAGUUGACUAAAAAUUUACUAGUAGAAUUAGCUAGCUAACUAAUAGCUAAUUUACUAAAAAUAGCUAAUACCUGAAAUAUUAGCUAGGGUGUUUGAUGUCUCUAGCUUAUUUUAGCCACUAACUAUUAGUUUUAGUGUAUUAAAACACCUCCUAGUGCAUUUAAAUAGGAUAUAAGCUAACAAAUGUGUUACUCGAUGCUAUGUAUAAAAAAAUACUUUAAAUUCUAUUUUGGUUUUGGUUUUGUUAAAACUAUACUGUAUACCAUGAUAUCGAAACAUUAAAACUCACUUCCAAACCUGCCCAUAGAGCGCUCAAAGGAUGGGUUUGUAGCUCAAAGGCGAGCUCUCUCUUCUCCGAUCCUGCGACGCGUCGAGCUCGAGCUCCUUUUGGUAGAUGCAAAGGACCUUAUUUUUUUGCCUCUUUGUUAAACUGUUUUAUUGUUAUGGUCUUGUUCGUCACUACCAACUGGAAAGUGUCAGAUUUCUUUUCCACUUGUAUACUCUCAUAUUUGCUGCCUCUGCUAGACUGCUACGUCAAUGCACACUUCAGUUAUUUGCCCCCUCCCAGUCCCUCGCAUGGCCGUUUUUUCAGCGUCGAAGGCGGUCUCGGAUGAAUCCGCUUUCCGUGUGGCCGGUAGAGUCUUCGUCUUCGUCUCGUCUCGUCUCGUCCCAAACACGCGAACGCGACACGCCGACACCCGUAUCGUACCACCUAACUUUUGCUCCGAGAUCUCCUCCUCCCGUCUCAUCAGUCUUUUCCAAUCAAUCACCAGCUCAAACUUGUACCCAAAACCCUACACCGGAGGGAGAGGGAUGGUCAAGAAAGCCGUCUCCACCGCGCCAGCAGACGCCGAGGCCGACGAGCGCCGCCGCCUCCGCUCGCUCGCCUUCUCCAACGGCCUGCUCCAGCGAGGCGACCCCGCGGCGCCGCGGGCGCCGCUCGCGCCGGCGGCUGCCGUCACGCGCCUACAGGGCCGCGACGUCGUCCGCCGUGGCGGCCAGCGAAAGAGCCGCUACCUCUUCUCCUUCCCUGGCCUCCUCGCGCCAGCAGCCUCGGGUGGCCGGGUCGGAGAGCUCGCCGACCUCGGGACCAAGAACCCCCUGCUGUACCUCGAGUUCCCACAGGGAAGGAUGAAGCUCUUCGGGACGCACGUUUACCCCAAGAACAAGUACCUCACGCUGCAGAUGACCAGGUCGGCCAAGGGCGUCGUCUGUGAGGACGUCUUUGAGAGCCUGAUUGUGUUUUCUGAAGCCUGGUGGGUGGGAACAAAAGAAGAUAAUCCGGAAGAGCUCAAACUUGAGUUUCCAAAAGAAUUCCAAAAUGAUGGCACGACAGCAGACUGUGAUUUCAGAGGUGGUGCAGGUGGUGCCAUCGAUGAAGCAACUGGAAGCAAAGCUGGAAAGGAAAUUGCAGAACCUCGUUCCCCAAAGUUUGCAUCUGAUGACGAUGCUCCUGAGGAUUCAAAUCAUAAGGAUGAGAAUAACACACAGACUAUGAGUGGAACACCAGUUAGACAGUCUGCUAGGAAUGCAGGGAAAACCUUGAAAAGGUACACAGACUUAUCUUCUGGAGGUGAAUCGUCUGACAAUAAUAAUGAAACUGAUAUAUCUGAGGACUUGGAUGAUAAGGAGGUGGAGAGUCCAGAAAUUAAGGACGAGAUUGAAAGCGAAGAUGUCAAACCCGCAGAUUCUUCAGCAAUUUCCCUCUCUAGCAAGAAGGAGCCUCUUGUUCAGGCUACUUUGUCUAGCAUGUUUAUAAGGGCAGAAGAAAAAAAGGCGAGAGUGCAAAACCAUCUACCUCUAUCUAUCACUAACAGACAACCAGCAUGUCUAUAGCUUUAACCUAACUCGAUUGCGCUGAAGCAAUACCACAUUCUACAAGGAUGUUUCUGUGUUAAACAUGUCUAUUUACAUUUGUUGUCAAGAAAUUUAACACAUACUUAAUUCCUGUUCCAGAGAUCUACAAGGAGUCCUAAAGGGUCCCCUGCAACCAAAGGUGCUGCUGCUAAGAAGCAGCGAGCAAGUCCAAUGGCAAAACAGCCAGCAGGGAUCAAGAAGGUUAGCGGAACUCGGGGAAAGAAAAAACCAAAGGUGGGAGAAGAUGAAAUCGAAGAGCUCUCAAGUUCCUCCCAGGAUAACGACGCAGAUGAUGAUAGUGACGAGGACUGGGCCGAAUAAUGCGAUGGUACAGACGACGGAUAGGUUGGGCCGUUGGGGAAGCAUAUGCAUAAUUGAUGUGCGGCUGAAGAGAAGGAUGGAUUGGGGGAUGGCACAGAAACUGCCUGUUUUCAUGGACUGGUUUGGCUGGUCAUGUCUGACGACGGAUCUAGAAUAUGGAAUAUCCUGAUCUGUUGUCAAGCUGAGUCCAUGAAACGUUGGUUGAUGAAACAUUAGUUAGUCAGAAGCGGGUUUGUUUGUAGUUAGGAACUAGGAACACACACACCCGAGGUUGUGAUGGGGUUGCAUACUUGGACUAGCCAUUCCCAUUCAUCUGUCUGUACUCUGUUCGACUGUUCCUUUGUGUGGCUCACACCUGUUGUGUUUCUGAUGGUGGUCAUUUCUCCAGCCAGGGGCAAAGAACACACUGCGUUUCGCUGAUCCUUUAAUUCAGACCCAUAGUCCUUUUU